rnacentral:rRNA from 1 species
AGCAGCCGCGGUAAUUCCAGCUCCAAUAGCGUAUAUUAAAGUUGUUGCAGUUAAAAAGCUCGUAGUUGAAUUUCGGGAUCAUCAGGUUGGUCGUGCCUCUGGUAUGUACUUUCCUCGAUGGUUCCUCCUUCUUGAAGAUCCGUAAUGUCGUUAAUUUGGUGUUGCGGGGAAUCAGGACUGUUACUUUGAAAAAAUUAGAGUGUUUAAAGCAAGCUAACGCUUGAAUACAUUAGCAUGGAAUAA